UGAUCAGCUGUCAAGCUAUAACGGAGUGUU
rnacentral:piRNA from 1 species